CCUGCCCUAGAUGGCCACCCUCCGCCAGGGGUCGACCUACCGAAGGUGUCGGCUCAGAUAAAAUAAUUCCACUUUGAAUAUGAUGACACAUGGCAAAGUCUGGAUGAAGUCACAUUAAUCCCAAGGCCCAGGAAUCGCUGAGGAACCUCACUUGUAAGCAAGGGCCGAGAAUGGAACUUUGGGUGCAGCAUUGCUGAGUGACACUUUGGAGCAUGGCACCACGGAAAAACGCUCUGCAGAGCUUUGCAUAAGCCAAAGAUGAGGAAGGAGGAAGCCCUCAAUUCUGAGACCAAGUUAAUUUGAUCCCAGUCCAAACUCUACGGACUCCAGUUGUCCUUCUGGUGGAACACUUCCUUGAUGCUACUCGGGGCAGAGCCUAGACUGUAGGACCCAUGUGCAGGGCAGAGGGAGACAGAAGGAAACAGCAACCAGCCACCUCCCAGGACUGUGCCUCUGCCCUCGUGUCCCAUCUAUGUCUGUCCUUUCAGGUAACUCAGGCACUGAGGCAGAACACCAAGGUAUUAUUACAUCUUAGUGGCAAGGAAAAUGACCGAGAUACCCCCAAGACAUGA
rnacentral:lncRNA from 1 species